rnacentral:rRNA from 1 species
CGUACACAAAAAUGCACAUAUUGUGAGCUCGAUGAGUAGGGCGGGACACGUGGUAUCCUGUCUGAAUAUGGGGGGACCAUCCUCCAAGGCUAAAUACUCCUGACUGACCGAUAGUGAACCAGUACCGUGAGGGAAAGGCGAAAAGAACCCCGGCGAGGGGAGUGAAAAAGAACCUGAAACCGUGUACGUACAAGCAGUGGGAGCCUCUUUUAUGGGGUGACUGCGUACCUUUUGUAUAAUGGGUCAGCGACUUAUAUUCUGUAGCAAGGUUAACCGAAUAGGGGAGCCGAAGGGAAACCGAGUCUUAACUGGGCGUUAAGUUGCAGGGUAUAGACCCGAAACCCGGUGAUCUAGCCAUGGGCAGGUUGAAGGUUGGGUAACACUAACUGGAGGACCGAACCGACUAAUGUUGAAAAAUUAGCGGAUGACUUGUGGCUGGGGGUGAAAGGCCAAUCAAACCGGGAGAUAGCUGGUUCUCCCCGAAAGCUAUUUAGGUAGCGCCUCGUGAAUUCAUCUCCGGGGGUAGAGCACUGUUUCGGCAAGGGGGUCAUCCCGACUUACCAACCCGAUGCAAACUGCGAAUACCGGAGAAUGUUAUCACGGGAGACACACGGCGGGUGCUAACGUCCGUCGUGAAGAGGGAAACAACCCAGACCGCCAGCUAAGGUCCCAAAGUCAUGGUUAAGUGGGAAACGAUGUGGGAAGGCCCAGACAGCCAGGAUGUUGGCUUAGAAGCAGCCAUCAUUUAAAGAAAGCGUAAUAGCUCACUGGUCGAGUCGGCCUGCGCGGAAGAUGUAACGGGGCUAAACCAUGCACCGAAGCUGCGGCAGCGACACUAUGUGUUGUUGGGUAGGGGAGCGUUCUGUAAGCCUGUGAAGGUGGCCUGUGAGGGUUGCUGGAGGUAUCAGAAGUGCGAAUGCUGACAUAAGUAACGAUAAAGCGGGUGAAAAGCCCGCUCGCCGGAAGACCAAGGGUUCCUGUCCAACGUUAAUCGGGGCAGGGUGAGUCGACCCCUAAGGCGAGGCCGAAAGGCGUAGUCGAUGGGAAACAGGUUAAUAUUCCUGUACUUGGUGUUACUGCGAAGGGGGGACGGAGAAGGCUAUGUUGGCCGGGCGACGGUUGUCCCGGUUUAAGCGUGUAGGCUGGUUUUCCAGGCAAAUCCGGAAAACCAAGGCUGAGGCGUGAUGACGAGGCACUACGGUGCUGAAGUGACAAAUGCCCUGCUUCCAGGAAAAGCCUCUAAGCAUCAGGUAACAUCAAAUCGUACCCCAAACCGACACAGGUGGUCAGGUAGAGAAUACCAAGGCGCUUGAGAGAACUCGGGUGAAGGAACUAGGCAAAAUGGUGCCGUAACUUCGGGAGAAGGCACGCUGAUAUGUAGGUGAAGCGACUUGCUCGUGGAGCUGAAAUCAGUCGAAGAUACCAGCUGGCUGCAACUGUUUAUUAAAAACACAGCACUGUGCAAACACGAAAGUGGACGUAUACGGUGUGACGCCUGCCCGGUGCCGGAAGGUUAAUUGAUGGGGUUAGCGGUAACGCGAAGCUCUUGAUCGAAGCCCCGGUAAACGGCGGCCGUAACUAUAACGGUCCUAAGGUAGCGAAAUUCCUUGUCGGGUAAGUUCCGACCUGCACGAAUGGCGUAAUGAUGGCCAGGCUGUCUCCACCCGAGACUCAGUGAAAUUGAACUCGCUGUGAAGAUGCAGUGUACCCGCGGCAAGACGGAAAGACCCCGUGAACCUUUACUAUAGCUUGACACUGAACAUUGAGCCUUGAUGUGUAGGAUAGGUGGGAGGCUUUGAAGUGUGGACGCCAGUCUGCAUGGAGCCGACCUUGAAAUACCACCCUUUAAUGUUUGAUGUUCUAACGUUGGCCCGUAAUCCGGGUUGCGGACAGUGUCUGGUGGGUAGUUUGACUGGGGCGGUCUCCUCCUAAAGAGUAACGGAGGAGCACGAAGGUUGGCUAAUCCUGGUCGGACAUCAGGAGGUUAGUGCAAUGGCAUAAGCCAGCUUGACUGCGAGCGUGACGGCGCGAGCAGGUGCGAAAGCAGGUCAUAGUGAUCCGGUGGUUCUGAAUGGAAGGGCCAUCGCUCAACGGAUAAAAGGUACUCCGGGGAUAACAGGCUGAUACCGCCCAAGAGUUCAUAUCGACGGCGGUGUUUGGCACCUCGAUGUCGGCUCAUCACAUCCUGGGGCUGAAGUAGGUCCCAAGGGUAUGGCUGUUCGCCAUUUAAAGUGGUACGCGAGCUGGGUUUAGAACGUCGUGAGACAGUUCGGUCCCUAUCUGCCGUGGGCGCUGGAGAACUGAGGGGGGCUGCUCCUAGUACGAGAGGACCGGAGUGGACGCAUCACUGGUGUUCGGGUUGUCAUGCCAAUGGCACUGCCCGGUAGCUAAAUGCGGAAGAGAUAAGUGCUGAAAGCAUCUAAGCACGAAACUUGCCCCGAGAUGAGUUCUCCCUGACUCCUUGAGAGUCCUGAAGGAACGUUGAAGACGACGACGUUGAUAGGCCGGGUGUGUAAGCGCAGCGAUGCGUUGAGCUAACCGGUACUAAUGAACCGUGAGGCUUAACCUU